rnacentral:rRNA from 1 species
UACGUAGGGUGCGAGCGUUAAUCGGAAUUACUGGGCGUAAAGCGUGCGCAGGCGGUUUUGUAAGUUUGUCGUGAAAGCCCCGGGCUCAACCUGGGAAUUGCGAUGAAGACUGCAAGGCUUGAAUCUGGCAGAGGGGGGUAGAAUUCCACGUGUAGCAGUGAAAUGCGUAGAGAUGUGGAGGAACACCGAUGGCGAAGGCAGCCCCCUGGGUCAAGACUGACGCUCAUGCACGAAAGCGUGGGGAGCAAACAGG